AUUGAACGCUGGCGGCAUGCUUUACACAUGCAAGUCGAGCGAGCGGCGGACGGGUGAGUAAUGUCUGGGAACGUGCCUGAUGGAGGGGGAUAACUACUGGAAACGGUAGCUAAUACCGCAUACCAUCAGAUGUGCCCAGAUGGGAUUAGCUAGUAGGUGGGGUAAAGGCUCACCAAGGCGACGAUCUCUAGCUGGUCUGAGAGGAUGAUCAGCCACACUGGGACUGAGACACGGCCCAGACUCCUACGGGAGGCAGCAGUGGGGAAUAUUGCGCAAUGGGGGCAACCCUGACGCAGCCAUGCCGCGUGAAUGAAGAAGGCCUUCGGGUUGUAAAGUUCUUUCGGUAGCGAGGCGUUAACUACAGAAGAAGCACCGGCUAACUCCGUGCCAGCCGCCGCGGUAAUUC
rnacentral:rRNA from 1 species